UACGUAGGGGGCAAGCGUUGUCCGGAUUUAUUGGGCGUAAAGAGCGUGUAGGCGGCCAUGCAGGUCCGUUGUGAAAACUGGAGGCUUAACCUCCAGACGUCGAUGGAAACCGUAUGGCUAGAGUCCGGAAGAGGAGAGUGGAAUUCCCGGUGUAGCGGUGAAAUGCGCAGAUAUCGGGAAGAACACCCGUGGCGAAGGCGGUUCUCUGGGACGGUACUGACGCUGAGACGCGAAAGCGUGGGGAGCGAACAGG
rnacentral:rRNA from 1 species